CCCAAGUGUGGUGUCAUUUCCACCCGACAGUUACAGGGAGAUGGAGAUGGAGAUUCUUCUCCCCGAAUCUCUCAGUAAUCUCUCAAUUGUGGGCUUCCCAAAUCUGAAGAAACUGAGCAGCAAGGGCUUUCAAUUCCUCACCUCUCUUCAAUCUCUUCGACUCUGGGAUUGUCCAAAGCUGGCAUCUAUUCCAGUGGAGGGGUUGCCUAUUUCACUGAGGGAACUUGAAAUCAUUAGGUGUCCUCUGCUAAAAGAUAAAUGCCAGCCUGGAAGUAAAGGACGAUACCUGCCCAAAAUAUCCCACAUCCCCUGCAUAGAGAUAUGGGAUUAGAAGACGGUUUGAAGAUGAUGAGAACCCACACCGACACAUGGACAUGGUCAACUCCGACUCUCACUCUCCCCAGGUACUUCAAAUUUCAAACAUUAUCAACACUUUCCCUGUACUCUUUAUGAACUUGGUUUCUCAUCCAUAAGAAUAAAUACAUGAAGUGCAUUUAAGAAAGAUUAGAUCAAAAAAUUCACAUCACUUCAAGAUGACCGUCUCCCAUCCUGACUGGGGAUUUCCCAACCUCCCAUUCUGAAUUGGCAGGAACGCUUUCAAUAUUCAGAUGCUAUAUACAGCUUACGGAAGCAGAUGUCGUGUUAUGCCAGAAUAGUCAUCAAACUCCCAUCCCUUCAAGCUUCUCAAGAAACCGCUGCAGGGGAAUAGUAAACUCGUAUGGCUCAUGCUCUUUUUCUCUCCAGAUGUUUUGCUUGCUCCUUGAUUCGAGUGUGACGCCUACAAUGGUAUUGUCCUCUUUGCAAAAAGAGUUGAAACCAUCCAUUGCUACUUUCAGCAGCAAUGGGAGUUAAAUAGGCCCAAACUCAAAUUUUCAAGAGCAGAAUCCUCUUCCUUUGCAGCAGUAGGUGACAGUGGUGCAAAAAGGACUCAAAGGAAGAUAUUUAUGAUGGAGUUUCGACAGUUCUUUGGACAACCAUUUGCUUUAAAUAUUCUGCCGAUCAGAGCAAGAAGGAUUGUUUUAUUGGGUCAUGUCAAUUCACUAGGCAUUUGUAAACAGUGAGAAGGAACAGCAAACAACGAAAGUUUUUUUAUACAAAUUUUACAAAGGAUAAUCUAUUCUAAAUUGAUAUAAUCAAUGGAGAGGGGAAUUUGAA